UACGUAGGGGGCGAGCGUUGUCCGGAUUUAUUGGGCGUAAAGAGCGUGUAGGCGGCCAGAUAGGUCUGCUGUGAAAACUCGAGGCUCAACCUCGAGAUGUCGGCGGAAACCAUUUGGCUAGAGUCCGGAAGAGGAAAGUGGAAUUCCUGGUGUAGCGGUGAAAUGCGUAGAUAUCGGGAGGAACACCAGUGGCGAAGGCGGCUUCCUGGCCUGUUCUUGACGCUGAGGCGCGAAAGCUAGGGGGAGCAAACGGGG
rnacentral:rRNA from 1 species